GAAGUCAUGCGUAAGCUUGGCUUGAAGCGUGAGCAUCUUUUCUAUUUUUUCCUAGUGAAUUUGCAUUUAAUUUGUUAAUUUUUAUCAAGAAUUUAUUAUCUUUCAGCCACUAUGGAUCCUACUUUGAGUCUUAUGCAAUUUCGUUUACUUUAGGUAGCAUUCGGAUGAAUUUGAUGGAGUUUCUACAGA